UAGGGAAUAUUGGUCAAUGGAUGCAAGUCUGAACCAGCCAUGCCGCGUGCAGGAAGAAGGCCUUCUGGGUCGUAAACUGCUUUUGCCAGGGGCUAAAAAGCCCAUGCGUGGGAAAUUGAAAGUACCUGGUGAAUAAGCCACGGCUAACUACGUGCCAGCAGCCGCGGUAAUACGUAGGUGGCAAGCGUUGUCCGGAUUUAUUGGGUUUAAAGGGUGCGUAGGCGGCCGUAUAAGUCAGUGCUGAAAUAUCCCGGCUUAACCGGGAGGGUGGCAUUGAUACUGUAUGGCUUGAGUGUAGUCGAGGUAGGCGGAAUUGACGGUGUAGCGGUGAAAUGCUUGGAUAUCGCCAAGAACACCGAUAGUGUAGACAGCUUACUAGGCUACAACUGACGCUGAGGCACGAAAGUGUGGGGAUCAAACAGGAUUAGAUACCCUGGUAGUCCACACUGUAAACGUUGAUUACUCGAUGUUGGCGAUACACAGUCAGCGUCUUAGCGCAAGCGAUAAGUAAUCCACCUGGGGAGUACGCCGGCAACGGUGA
rnacentral:rRNA from 1 species